AUUGAACGCUGGCGGCAGGCCUAACACAUGCAAGUCGAGCGGAGCGGCGGACGGGUGAGUAAUGUCUGGGAAACUGCCUGAUGGAGGGGGAUCACUACUGGAAACGGUAGCUAAUCCCGCAUACUAUCAGAUGAGCCUAGGUCGGAUUCGCUAGUUGGUGGGGUAAAGGCCUACCAAGGCGACGAUCCGUAACUGGUCUGAGAGGAUGAUCAGUCACACUGGAACUGAGACACGGUCCAGACUCCUACGGGAGGAAGCAGUGCGUAAUAUUGGACAAUGGGCGAAUGCCUGAUCCAGCCAUGCCGCGUGUGGGAAGAAGGUCUUCGGAGUGUAAAGCACUUUAAGUUGGGAGGCGUUACCAACAGAAUAAGCACCGGCUAACUUCGUGCCAGCAGCCGCGGUAAUAC
rnacentral:rRNA from 1 species